rnacentral:lncRNA from 1 species
GAAAACGUGGCCUCGGUUCACCUCCCGGAUUCUGGGCUUGAAGCACGUGUAGGACGUUCUGUGUGGUUGGGACGGGGAGUGACGCCAACUCUGAAACCUGAGUGCCAGCCUGGCUGCACGCUGCCAAUCCGGCUUCAGUCGUCAUCCCGGCUAGGGUUCCGAGAGGACAGCGCGGCCGUCCACGUACCCCGGAAAACCAAAACCCAAAACCCUCAGUUACGCAUGGUGUGGGCUCGUGGAGAGAAUACAGUUCGCGAAAGCCCGAGAAAUACAUGGAAAAAGGGACACAAGUGAGCCAAUGGGGGAGGAUAUUCUUGGAGUUAUUAGUUUUGCUAAAGAAGUGCCCGUGCUGGAAAGAAAACAAAGCAAAACCGAGAACCGCAGAUCUAAAGCACGUCCUUCAACUUACCCAAUGUUAAACCAAGGAAUGUUGGUGCUCUGGAUCUUGCAAAGGAUGAAUCCAGUGUUUAGUCUGCUGACCAGUUCCUUCUGUUUCAUCGCUCAACCCAAAGAACACGUGGGAUUCUCGUGCCAGCUUAUGACAUUAUGGAACCCAGAGUUUAAUGAACCUGAAAAGAGAAAUCAGAAAUGUGAAGACCCUCAUCCAAACAGGAAAGGAUCCAGCCACUGA